AUGGAUCAUGCGGCGGACGCUUUCCGGACGGACCUGAUGACCAUCACGCGAUACCUGCUGAAGGAGCAGAGCAGGCACCUGGAGUCGCGCGGCGACUUCACCAUCCUCCUCUCCCACAUCGUCCUCGGCUGCAAGUUCGUCACACUCAACAAGGCCGGCCAAGCCAAGCUCAUCGGCCUCUCAGUUCAGAGCAACGUCCAGGUGGAGGAGCGGAAAGAAGUUGGACGUGCUCUCCCAACGAGGUGUUGGUCAAUGCCCUUGUCAGCAGUGGCCGCACCUGCGUUCUUGUGUCCGAGGAGGACGAGGAGGCUUCAUACUUGGACCGAAAGCUCCGUGGGAAGUACUGUGUCUGCUUUGAUCCCCUGGAUGGCUCCUCCAACAUCAACUGCGGCAUGCCCAUCGGAAUGGUAUGCACACAAGUAA
rnacentral:rRNA from 1 species